UUUGGGAGAACUUGGAAGAAUACU
rnacentral:piRNA from 1 species